AGAGUUUGAUCAUGGCUCAGNUUGAACGCUGGCGGCAGGCUUAACACAUGCAAGUCGAACGGUAACAGAACUAGCUUGCUAGUUGCUGACGAGUGGCGGACGGGUGAGUAACGCGUAGGAAUAUACCGAAUAGUGGGGGACAACAGUUGGAAACGGCUGCUAAUACCGCAUACGCCCUACGGGGGAAAGGAGGGGAUCUUCGGACCUUUCGCUAUUUGAUGAGCCUGCGUGAGAUUAGUUAGUUGGUGGGGUAAUGGCUCACCAAGGCGACGAUCUCUAGCUGGUCUGAGAGGAUGAUCAGCCACACUGGGACUGAGACACGGCCCAGACUCCUACGGGAGGCAGCAGUGGGGAAUAUUGCACAAUGGGGGAAACCCUGAUGCAGCCAUGCCGCGUGUGUGAAGAAGGCCUUCGGGUUGUAAAGCACUUUCAGUUGUGAGGAAAGGUUAAGGGUUAAUA
rnacentral:rRNA from 1 species